CUAAGUCAGGGUUAUCCAACCACUGUCCAGGGUCGCCUACCCUUGUUUUAGAUCCUCUAAGUCAGGGUUAUCCAACCACUGUCCAGGGUCGCCUACCCUUGUUUUAGAUCCUCUAAGUCAGGGUUAUCCAACCACUGUCCAGGGUCGCCUACCCUUGUUUUAGAUCCUCUAAGUCAGGGUUAUCCAACCACUGUCCAGGGUCGCCUACCCUUGUUUUAGAUCCUCUAAGUCAGGGUUAUCCAACCACUGUCCAGGGUCGCCUACCCUUGUUUUAGAUCCUCUAAGUCAGGGUUAUCCAACCACUGUCCAGGGUCGCCUACCCUUGUUUUAGAUCCUCUAAGUCAGGGUUAUCCAACCACUGUCCAGGGUCGCCUACCCUUGUUUUAGAUCCUCUAAGUCAGGGUUAUCCAACCACUGUCCAGGGUCGCCUACCCUUGUUUUAGAUCCUCUAAGGUCGGGUUAUCCAACCACUGUCCAGGGUCGCCUACCCUUGUUUUAGAUCCUCUAAGUCAGGGUUAUCCAACCACUGUCCAGGGUCGCCUACCCUUGUUUUAGAUCCUCUAAGUCAGGGUUAUCCAACCACUGUCCAGGGUCGCCUACCCUUGUUUUAGAUCCUCUAAGUCAGGGUUAUCCAACCACUGUCCAGGGUCGCCUACCCUUGUUUUAGAUCCUCUAAGUCAGGGUUAUCCAACCACUGUCCAGGGUCGCCUACCCUUGUUUUAGAUCCUCUAAGGUCGGGUUAUCCAACCACUGUCCAGGGUCGCCUACCCUUGUUUUAGAUCCUCUAAGUCAGGGUUAUCCAACCACUGUCCUGAGUGCACGUUUUGUUUGUUUGUUGUCCUAACACUACACAGCUGAUUGAAAUAAUCAACUCAUCGUCAAUCUUUGAUUAUUUUUAAUCAGCUGUGUAGUGCUAGGACAACAAGCCAAAACGUUGUUGCCCAAAGGGCCGAGUUUGUGAAACUCUGCUGUAGAGUUAGCCUGUUUGCCUCAACGUCCAAUUUAAAAGAUUGUAUUUUUUAAAAACGAAGGGAAGAAUGGAGGAGGUGGUGAUUUGGUUGAUGAUUUUGUGGCAGUGGAAAUCUCUCACCCCACGUUAUUUUAUACACACAUUUUUGUCAUCCUUAAUUGAGUAGAUGCCCACUACCCACCAUGCACUGCUUCUGUAACUGUGUAUAACAGUAUGUUCUUAACUGCUAGAGGAUAUCUGUGGAAAUAAAAGUAUGUGAAUAGUAAUCUA